CUGGGUCUGAAAAUAGGGGGACUAGGCAUUGUGGCCUGAUUAAACCCAACUCAUCAUUAAGCACUAUAUUGUAAACACUGUCAAGGGAAGGAAAUGGCUGCAUCAUCAACUGAUUACUCCUAACCCCCAUGUAUGCUUCAUUUAACCCCAUAAGAAACUGGUAUACCUUGUUUUCAUCAUCUUCCUGAAUUAUUUCAUUUUUAGCAGCACACACACAUCCCUGCCCAUGAUUUGUGCACAUUGUGCCCAUCUCAUCCCAUAGGCCUUUGAGCUUGUUAAAGUAUGAGGCUACGUCUAAGCAGC
rnacentral:lncRNA from 1 species